GUUAAGCGACUAAGCGUACACGGUGGAUGCCCUGGCAGUCAGAGGCGAUGAAGGACGUGCUAAUCUGCGAUAAGCGUCGGUAAGGUGAUAUGAACCGUUAUAACCGGCGAUUUCCGAAUGGGGAAACCCAGUGUGUUUCGACACACUAUCAUUAACUGAAUCCAUAGGUUAAUGAGGCGAACCGGGGGAACUGAAACAUCUAAGUACCCCGAGGAAAAGAAAUCAACCGAGAUUCCCCCAGUAGCGGCGAGCGAACGGGGAGCAGCCCAGAGCCUGAAUCAGUGUGUGUGUUAGUGGAAGCGUCUGGAAAGGCGCGCGAUACAGGGUGACAGCCCCGUACACAAAAAUGCACAUGCUGUGAGCUCGAUGAGUAGGGCGGGACACGUGGUAUCCUGUCUGAAUAUGGGGGGACCAUCCUCCAAGGCUAAAUACUCCUGACUGACCGAUAGUGAACCAGUACCGUGAGGGAAAGGCGAAAAGAACCCCGGCGAGGGGAGUGAAAAAGAACCUGAAACCGUGUACGUACAAGCAGUGGGAGCACGCUUAGGCGUGUGACUGCGUACCUUUUGUAUAAUGGGUCAGCGACUUAUAUUCUGUAGCAAGGUUAACCGAAUAGGGGAGCCGAAGGGAAACCGAGUCUUAACUGGGCGUUAAGUUGCAGGGUAUAGACCCGAAACCCGGUGAUCUAGCCAUGGGCAGGUUGAAGGUUGGGUAACACUAACUGGAGGACCGAACCGACUAAUGUUGAAAAAUUAGCGGAUGACUUGUGGCUGGGGGUGAA
rnacentral:rRNA from 1 species